CAAAGCUGUUUUGAUUUCCUCACCACAUAUCCCUCGUCUUUACGCUCACAAGGAGCUCAAAUGUAAUUAAACCGUGCUACUUGAUGAAUCAAGUUACUUGAUUAUUAAGCUUCCAAACAAUCCCCAUCAGUUUCACCACUCGCUUCCCUGCCAUCUCCGCCACCAUGUUGUCUGAAUCCACCGUGCCCCGUGCCGUACUCGUCUUCGCUUCCAUUUCCGUCUUCAUUUUGCUCCUCUACGGCGCUUCUGAUUCUCCACGCGUCCACUCUUCCUCCUCCGGUUACCCCUUUAACAUCUUCCCUUCUCGCCUCGGCGGCAGCGAUUCUAAAAUCCCAAUUAAUGGUGGUGGUGAUUAUAAUAAGCUGGAGAAAGUUCUGAAAGAAGCUGCAAUGGAAGAUAAGACAGUAAUAAUUGCUACAUUAAAUGAGGCAUGGGCAGCUCCAAAUACAGUUAUUGAUUUAUUCCUUGAAAGCUUUAGAAUUGGUCAGGGAACGCGCAGGCUCUUGGAUCAUCUGGUGAUUGUUGCUUUGGAUGAAAAGGCGUACAGGCGGUGUAUGGAAUUACAUACGCAUUGCUUUGCUCUUGUUACUCAAGGACUUGACUUUCAUGACGAGGCUUAUUUUAUGACCCAUUUCUAUUUGGAGAUGAUGUGGAGACGCAUUGAUUUCUUGCGCUCUCUUCUUGAAAUGGGGUAUAACUUUGUUUUCACGGAUGCUGAUAUCAUGUGGUUCAGGGACCCCUUUCCACGGUUUUUUCUGGAUGCUGAUUUCCAGAUUGCGUGCGAUCAUUUCUCAGGCAACUCCAGUGACAUGCGAAACAGACCCAAUGGAGGCUUUAACUAUGUAAAGUCCAACAAACGCUCAAUAGAAUUUUACAAGUUCUGGUAUUCUUCACGGGAGAUCUAUCCUGGAUACCAUGAUCAGGAUGUCCUUAAUUUUAUCAAAUUUGAUCCUUUCAUUGAGGACCUUGGAUUGAAGAUGAGAUUCUUGGACACUGCUUUCUUUGGGGGCCUUUGCGAACCUAGCAAGGAUUUGAAUUUAGUUUGUACAAUGCAUGCAAAUUGCUGUUAUGGUUUGGAUAGCAAGCUUCAUGAUCUUAGAAUUAUGCUUCAGGAUUGGAAAACUUUUUUAUCUCUGCCACCAACCUUGAUACGAUCACUUUCUGUGUCUUGGAGGGUACCACAGAACUGCAGUCUUAAUUAUGUACAUCAACAUGAUUCUCCGGAAAAAAGUGUUCAACAAACUUUGGGACAUUGAACUGCGUGGGAUACUUUGAGAAACACUUCCCCUUCGCUAGCAGAAUGAGAAGAUUUUAUGCUGGAGCUGGAAAAACUUUUGAUGAAGCUGAACUGGUCAAUCUAUAAGUUUGUUGUGAUAAAAUAUGCUGCUAAAAUGUUGGAAGGAAAGUACCUGUGACUCGUCUUCAUUUGAACAUUUGGUCCAAGGCAACCAAUCUUGUCUUCACUUGUCAUCUUCUCCAGUAGAUAGGCCUAGGCAUGUAUAGAACAUUGCUUUAAUCAUUGUUGGCUAGUCUUGUUAAUUAGUUUGAUGUAUUUCCUCGCUUCAGCAGCUAUCAGGCUGCGUUUAAUUAUGUUCUUCAUGGUGUUCUGGAAAACUUGCUAGCUAACAUUUUUGCUUGAAGUCGAGGUCGAUUGAUUCUAUGCUCCGCGUAAAUGAUUUGUAGUAAAGCUUUGGAGGGGCAAUGGUAUUUCCCCCCUGCCUUCUGAAGCUCUGUUUCGGCGAGGUUCUUGCAUUUGCGUGUUAUAUCUUUGCCCUAAAAUAUGAAAAGAGGGACAAAUGAUAUGGGGGUAUGACAGCUCGCUUUCCUUGAUUUGUUGAAAGGAUUUUCAGCUUCGCGUUGGGCCUGCUGGCAGUUCACAGACAAAGGUUGAUUUUCUUCUUCUGCACCCCCAUAUGGACUCUGGUUUUUAUAAGCUUAUAAUAAACCAAACAAAAAUUAGACGGAAAGAUGAGGGAUUCGGCAGCAUGGAGCUAGUGAAAAUCUUUUCUUCUGGCUCCCCAAACCUUUAUGAUCAAUUCUAGAGCACAUUAAAAAAUUCACACAUUCGAAGUACGAGCAUCCAAGUUGUAAUCUUGGAUCUAAACUGAUAUUAAAAUGCAUUCUUGAAAUCAACCAAUAAGAUGUCUUGAGUUGAUCCAAUAAAACCACUCAUCGUCGAACAUGAGAUCAUUCAUCCGGCAGAAAUCCCCAGUUCAAUCCUUGAAUGAAUCCCUUGUUCUCUCGCAAUCUGAAUUGAACCCCAACUGUUUCAUCCCAAUAUAUGUGGCUGAUUACGGUACAUCCAAAGCUCUCAAGAAUUAGCUAUCUAUCGUGAAAUCCCGGCAGAAAUCUCACGAAACCAAGUAACCAAAUCUGCAAAUACCAUCAA